UACGUAGGGUGCAAGCGUUAAUCGGAAUUACUGGGCGUAAAGCGAGCGCAGGCGGUUAUGUAAGACAGAUGUGAAAUCCCCGGGCUUAACCUGGGAACUGCAUUUGUGACUGCAUGGCUAGAGUGCGUCAGAGGGGGGUGGAAUUCCACGUGUAGCAGUGAAAUGCGUAGAGAUGUGGAGGAACACCGAUGGCGAAGGCAGCCCCCUGGGAUGACACUGACGCUCAUGCUCGAAAGCGUGGGGAGCAAACAGGAUUAGAUACCCUGGUAGUCCACGCCCUAAACGAUGUCUACUAGUUGUCGGGCCUUAAUUGGCUUGGUAACGCAGCUAACGCGUGAAGUAGACCGCCUGGGGAGUACGGUCGCAAGAUUA
rnacentral:rRNA from 1 species